rnacentral:lncRNA from 1 species
GAACUUUCGGGGUCAGUGCCCUUCUAAACUCCCCUUCCCCCAAUAAUGCAGCUGUAUAAUGAAUGGUAAAUGCAGCGGUUUGGAUUCAGGCACAGCCCCAGCCUGCUUGCAGCAGAGAGAUAAACUGGUAGGUGGCAGCAGAAGAAGGAAUUCUUCAGAUUGA